CCGGGUGGGUAGGCAAUCGCUCUUGAUUUAUCAGGAGAGGAAAGUCCGGACACCUAGCUUUAAUGAAAAUUGGGGCAAUGGUAGCGGGUAAUUCCCGUCCAUCGCAAGAUGAGAGGUGCGAACAGAGACGUCUUGAAUUGAAAAAUUCAGGACACCCUUUGGGGUGAGUUCCGAUGGAAACAUCGGAAUUGAAACGGCUAAAUCCUUACUUGGGUGCAAGGCCAAACUUCUUCGGAAGAAAAAAGUAGGCCGCUUGAUUCCGACAGCAAUGUCGGAACCAGAAAAAUGAUUGCCAGUCCGAUUUAUCGACGACAGAAUCCGGCUUAUAACCCACCCGGUUCA
rnacentral:RNase_P_RNA from 1 species